UACGUAGGCGGAUUGGUAAGCAAUUUGUGAAAUCUUGAGGCUUAACCUUAAAACUGCAAGUUGAACUACUUUUCUAGAGUGCAGGAGAAGAAAGCGGAAUUCACGGUGGAAGGGUGGAAUCUGUAGAUAUCGUGAAGAACACCAGAGGCGAAGGCGGCUUUCUAGCCUGCUACUGACGCUCAGGUACGAAAGUUAGGGGAGCAAACAGGAUUAGAUACCCUGGUAGUCC
rnacentral:rRNA from 1 species